UGCAAGUCGUGGGGCAGCAGGGGUAGCAAUACCCGCUGGCGACCGGCAAACGGGUGCGGAACACGUACGCAACCUUCCUUCGAGUGGGGAAUAGCCCAGGGAAACUUGGAUUAAUACCCCGUAAUAUUAUUGAAUGGCAUCAUUUGAUAAUUAUAGCUCCGGCGCUUGAAGAUGGGCGUGCGACUGAUUAGGUAGUUGGCGGGGUAACGGCCCACCAAGCCUACGAUCAGUAACUGGUGUGAGAGCACGACCAGUCACACGGGCACUGAGACACGGGCCCGACUCCUACGGGAGGCAGCAGUAAGGAAUAUUGGUCAAUGGACGCAAGUCUGAACCAGCCAUGCCGCGUGGAGGAUGAAUGCCCUCUGGGUUGUAAACUCCUUUUAUCUGGGAAGAAAUCCAUACAUUCUUGUGUGGUUGACGGUACCAGAGGAAUAAGCACCGGCUAACUCCGUGCCAGCAGCCGCGGUAAUACGGAGGGUGCAAGCGUUAUCCGGAUUCACUGGGUUUAAAGGGUGCGUAGGUGGGUAGGUAAGUCAGUGGUGAAAUCCCCGAGCUUAACUUGGGAACUGCCGUUGAUACUAUCUAUCUUGAAUGUCGUGGAGGUAAGCGGAAUAUGUCAUGUAGCGGUGAAAUGCUUAGAUAUGACAUAGAACACCCAUUGCGAAGGCAGCUUACUACACGAUUAUUGACACUGAGGCACGAAAGCGUGGGGAKCAAACARGAUUAGAUACCCUGGUAGUCCACGCCCUAAACGAUGGAUACUCGACAUMMGCGAUACACUGUUGGUGUCUGAGCGANAGCAUUAAGUUUCC
rnacentral:rRNA from 1 species